AUGAUUACUAGUUUGAGAUAAUUUGUUACCAAACUACUGCAAGUCUAUCCCCGAUUUAGUCAAGGAUCCAAGUCAAAGCAGCCACAUAUUGAGCCUUUGAAUUAAUCAAAUAUUUCAGUUAUCUUUCAGCUAUCUUUUAUUUAAUUGUUUUAAUGAUUCCUUCUUUGUAGAAGGGUAUUCCUCCACUUUUCAUUUCAUGUGGUUAGUUGAGGAGGGUGUUCCUCCAUGUUGAAGUAGUGCUCCUUUGAUGUAGGAAGGAGUUAUACUUCCUUUCUGUAUUUAAGCAAUAACAUCAAUGAAGAGGAUAGCUUCCAAAAUCAAUUAAGUCUUGAGCGCUUUAAGUCUCAGAGGUUUCAGGUUCCCUCUUUUAGAGCCUGAAUUGUUAAUGACCCGAGAUCGUAAAAAGACUAUUAACCCAAACACUCAAACUCCUGCCAUACCCUUAGCCCACAGACCCAUAUCCAGAUCCACAACCCGGGACCAUAAUAGUUUGGUAUCAGAGCCUGCAGUUAUGGGGGACUCUGUUCAAGGUCAACUCGCCAAGCUCUUUGAAUUGUUGUUGGCCGAGCAACAAGCAAACAAAGACCGAAAUGAAAAGGUUGAGCAAUUGCACGCCAAAUUGGAUGCAAUGUCUCAGGAAUUAGAAUCGAUUAAGAAAGGGUUGCAAUCUCGCAGCACUAGCAGUCAAGCAAAAUCAAGGAGGGAAUUUCGGGUGCUUUGGUUUUCGAAAGUUCGGGAGGAAGUUCGAUAGUACCGAAAUUCACAAAGCUUGAUUUUCUUCGUUAUAAUGGGCUGGAAGACCCUUUGGGGUGGCUUGCCCUAUGCCAGCAAUUUUUUUAGGCAGUUUAGCUUCGUACCAUUUGGAGGGGAUUGCUCAGCUGUGGUAUAUACAGCUGCUGGAUGACAUUCCAAAUCCCAAUUGGGAUGAGUUCACACAUCAAUGCAAUAUUCGUUUUGGGCCUCCAAUCCGCAGCAACAAAUUAGGCGAAUUGGCGAAGCUAAAGCAAACUGGUUCUGUUGCAGAAUAUCAUAACCGUUUUGAAGCCUUGGUGUCACACGAUGGCACCCUCACGCAGGAUCAAAAGGUCUAGUUGUACCUCAGUGAUUGCAGGACUCCAUUGCUGUUGAGGUCGAGCUACAUCAUCCAAAAGAUCUGGUGAAUGCAAUGAGUAUCUCCCGACUGUAUAAAUGGAAACUUUUCCCAAGUUCUCCGGCUAUGAGAGACACUCGUCGCGUUGCCUUCACAUUUGCACCUCGUGCCUACCGAUUGGUGAAGUGACUGAACCGUGAGGAGAUGGAAGAAAGACGGAAAAAGAGACUGUGUUUUAACUGUGAUGAACAGUUUGUUCGCGGCUGCCAAUUUAAAAAGCGUUUCUGGAUAGACUUGGUGGAGACCGAAGAAAUAGAGGACACAAAUUCUGAUCCAGAGCUGGAACAACCAAAGAUUUCAUUUAACGCCAUCACUGGAAUUUGAAAUCCUCAGUCCAUGUGACUACAGGGAUAUUGGAAGGGGGGACAAGUCUUAAUUCUAAUUGAUUCUGGCAGCACUCACAGUUUUGUGUCUGCAACAAAAAUCAAGGAACUUGGUGCUGAAGUAAACGGGCAGGAUUGCUUGAAAGUUAAUGUCGCCAAUGGUGAGCAGUUGGACAGCCCAGGUAUAUGCAAAGGAAUCCCAAUUCUACUAGAUUCUCACUCUUUUUCCGUGGACUUAUUUGUUCUGCCACUAACCGGUUUUGAUGUGGUUUUGGGAGUUAACUGGCUUCAGACUUUGGGACCCAUUCUGUGAGAUUUUGCUGUCGUGAGGAUGUGUUUCUUUCAACAGGAAACCUUGAUCGAAUUGCACAGCAUAACUUCAAUUUCCUAUACAAAGGAGUCUGAUCUCCACAGUAUGUUGCUUUCCCCAGAUUCCGAAAUUCAACUAGAGAAAUUGUUGGCAGAAUUUGCCUCUUUAUUCAGUGCGCCAACCGGAUUAACUCCUAGCAGGGCUGUGACCACCGUAUUCCUUUGGAACCAGGAGCAAAACCGAUGGUUGUUCGACCAUACCGCUGUCCACAUGGGCAGAAGGAUGAAAUCGAAAAGCAGUGUGCGGCCAUGUUGCAACAAGGCAUAAUCUGUCCAAGCCGAUCACCAUUCUCUUCUCCGGUGAUCCUAGUACCAAAGGCAGACGGUUCUUGGCGUUUAUGUAUCGAUUAUAGAGAAUUAAACGCCAAAACCAUUAAAGACAAAUUCUCAAUUCCUGCGAUAGAUGAGUUAUUAGAAGAACUGGGUGGUGCUAGAUACUUCACAAAGCUGGAUCUGCUUUCUGGUUAUUUUCAAGUGGGCAUGCAUCCUUCUGAUGUCGAGCAAACAACUUGUCGGACGCAUCACAGCCACUUUGAAUUCCUGGUAAUGCCGUUUGCUUUGACCAACGCACCUUCAACCUUCGAGGCCUUAAUGAAUGAGGUAUUUCAAUCAUACUUGAGGAAAUUUGUUCUCGUUUUUUUUUACAACACCUUGGUUUUUAGUCAGUCUUGGGCAGAACACCUUCACCACUUAUGACUUGUUUUUCAAUUGUUGGUGAAGAACAAAUUAUUCCUCAAACGCUCCAAGUGCGUUUUUAGCCAGACUCAAGUUUCAUAUUUGGGUCAUAUUAUUUCUCAUAAUGGAGUCCAGGUGGAUCAAUCCAAAAUAUCAUCAGUCCUAGAUUGGCCCAAGCCCAAACACAAUUCGUGGUUUGAGAGGAUUCUUAGGGCUUACGGGUUACUAUCGCAAAUUUGUCCAAAACUACGGAACCAUCACCGCUCCACUCACAGUCACAGCUAUGUUGCGGAAAAACAGUUUUCGUUGGAUUGAAGAGGCUGAGGCGGCAUUCGACAAAUUGAAAGAGGCAAUGACAUCAACUCCAAUCUUGGUUCUCCCUGAUUUUGAACUAACCUUUGUAAUAUAAUGUGAUGCCUCGAGUAUAGGAAUUGGGGCUGUUCUGUUACAGCAAAACAAACCAGUGGCAUACUUUAGUCGUUCAAUGGCCGUACGCCGUCAGAACCUUCCGACGUAUGAAAGAGAAACGAUCGGGUUGGUGAAGGCAAUCAAACAUUGGCAUUCUUAUCUCUGGGUCGGGAAUUUACUGUUCGAAUGAACCACUAGCCAUCUCUCUUCUUCUCAGCAACACUGGGUCAAUAAACUUAUGGGCUUUUGUUUUACGGUUGAAUACAAAGCUGGAAAAUCUAAUAUAGUUGUUGACGCACUCUCUCGAGGGAUGCUGAUCAAUCUGCCAUCUUGGCAGUUUCUAUGCCCCAACUAAGCCUGUUUGACGAUAUUUAGAAAGAGCAGCAUAAUUCAGAAGAAGUGCAGAAACGAAGCGCUGCGAUUCACACUGGACAGCCACUUCCAAAUGGAGUUUUAAGAAUUGUUUGCUCUUUUACAACAUCAGAGUUUACCUUCCUCAUAACUCCCCAUCUAUUCAACUAAUGGUCAGUGCUGCUCUCCAUAACUAGGGCAAGGAUACCGAAAAACCCUAUACAGAAUUACAAAGGAUUUUUUUUUGUUUGGAAUGUGUGAGAGAUUUUGUAUGCUCUUGUGAUACAUGUCAAAGGCAUAAAACAGAGACUUUACAACCGGCGGGACUCCUUCACCCUCUCCCUAUUCCAACGCAAGUUUGGGCUGAUAUCUCUAUUGACUUCAUCGAGGGAAUUCCAACUUCGCGUGCGAAAAAUGUACUGCUGGUAGUCGUCGACAGAUUUUCGAAGUAUGGGCAGUUUCUGGCUUUGUCUCAUCCAUAUACAGGCUCUUUCUUUGACAACAUUUUUAAAUUACAUGGCUUGCCAGAAACUUCAGUAACAAAGAUGUGACAUUUACAAGUUCCUUUUGGAAAGAACUUUUCCGUUUGAGUGGUACCAAGCUGUGUUUCAGUUCCUCUUAUCACCCACAGCCGGAUGGCCAAACGGAGGUGGUAAACCGCACCAUUGAAAUGCAUCUUCGCUGUUUCACAAGUUCUACUCCGAACAAAUGGAUGCUGAUUUCUGUUACAACACUAGCUACCAUUCCUCUCUUAAAACUACUUUCGAAACGAUUUAUGGCCGUCCUCCUCCCAGAUUAUUGUCAUAUCUACCUGGUAGUUCCACCAUUGAAGCUGUCGAUACUGUUUUAAGGACAAGAGAUGAGACUCUGCUCUCACUUCGUGAAAACCUACUGCAAGCCCAACAAAAAAUGAAGCAUACAUAUGAUCAAUCUCAUCGCCCUUUAGUGGGGGAUAAGGUUCUACUACGUUUACAGCCUUAUCGUCAAACUUCAGUUGCUAAAAGGAGGAAUCAGAAACUUUCGGCACGAUUUUAUGGCCCCUUUGUGAUAGUGGAACGUGUCGGUUCCAUGGCCUAUAAGUUGGAUCUUCCUGCUGAUUCAAAGCUCCAUUCAGUGUUUCAUGUUUCAAGUCUAAAACCUUAUCAUGAAGAUCAAUCUGCUCCUACACCAUUGCUGCCAUCUUUUCUGCUGCUAGAACCUGUUCAUCCUUUGGCCAUUCUAGACCACCGUAUUAAAGGAGGAAGUCAUAAGGUUCUCGUCCACUGGAAUCAUUCUUCUCCUGCCGAUGCUUCAUGGGAGAAGGUACAGGCAUUUUCUGCCAAAUAUCCAGAUUUUCAGCUUGAGGACAAGCUUCCUUUGGGGGCGGGAAGUAAUGUUACCAAACCACUGCAAGUCUAUACCCGAUUCAGUCAUGGAUCCAAGUCAAAGCAGCCACAUAUGAGCCUCUGAACUAGUCAAAUAUUUCAGUUAUCUUUCAACUAUCUUUUAGGUAAUUGUUUUAAUAAUUCCAUGUUUGUAGGAGGGUAUUCCUCCACCUUUUAUUUCAUAUGGUUAGUUGAGGAGGGUGUUCCUCCAUGUUGAAGUAAUGCUCCUUUGAUGUAGGAAGCAGUUAUACUUCCUUUCUGUAUUUAAGCAAUAACAUCAAUGAAGAGGAUAGCUUCCAAAAUUAGUUAAGUCUUGAGCGCUUUAAGUCUCAGAGGUUUCAGGUUUCCUCUUUUAGAGCCUGAAUUGUUAAUGACCCGAGGUCGUAAAAAGAUUCUUAACCCAAACACUCAAAUUCCGCCAUACUCUUAGCCCACAGACCCAUAACCAAAUCCACAACCCGGGACCAUAACAUAAUUACACAGCUUAUUAAAGAUAAUGGUAAAUUCAAUUGAAACCAUUAGACAUGUCAUGACCAUAGUUGAUUAUUUACUUUAGCACAUGGACUCCAUAUUCCAGAAUCACUGCCUUUACUUAUCACAAACGUUGAAAUGCUAGUUGAGGUCUUGACAUCAACCAAAUUAUAACCUACCUACAACACCCAAAAAAAUAGCUUUCCAGA
rnacentral:lncRNA from 1 species